AUAGAGGGUCUUUGUCAUCAGUGACACCCAGUGGCUGAUAUAUGAGCGUCUGGGCAGAAUCACAGUCAAGAGAUUUCAGAGAUGUAAUUUUUAACAACUUGUAGCAGCUAUCGCUCUUUUGAUGAUGAUGUGCCUG